UACAGAGACUGCAAGCGUUAUUCGGAUUCACUGGGCGUAAAGGGUGCGCAGGCGGUUGGGUGUGUCAGAUGUGAAAUCCCGAGGCUCAACCUCGGAACUGCGUCUGAAACUACUCGACUAGAGUACUGGAGAGGGUAACGGAAUUCACGGUGUAGCAGUGAAAUGCGUAGAUAUCGUGAGGAACACCAGAGGCGAAGGCGGUUACCUGGACAGUUACUGACGUUCAGGCACGAAAGCAUGGGGAGCAAAAGGG
rnacentral:rRNA from 1 species